ACCAGACCUCCCGAAAAAUUCGGGACAGUCCCGAAUUAGGAGCAGUUGUCCCGACUCCUGUCCGGUUUGUCCCGAAAAUUAGACUUACCUUUAAUAUAACAGGGUGAAGGAAUAAUUGCAGCCUCUGAAGAUCAUAUUGCAGAUGUCACCUUUCUACAAAGUCUGAACUAUUUUACCAAUUAAAAAAUAUGCUUUACUGUAUGGCCAA